AUACGUAGGGGGCAAGCGUUAUCCGGAAUUAUUGGGCGUAAAGGGUACGUAGGCGGUUACUUAAGCGUGGGGUGAAAGGCUAUGGCUUAACCAUAGUAAGCCUUGCGAACUGGGUAACUUGAGUGCAGGAGAGGAAAGCGGAAUUCCUAGUGUAGCGGUGAAAUGCGUAGAUAUUAGGAGGAACACCAGUGGCGAAGGCGGCUUUCUGGACUGUAACUGACGCUGAGGUACGAAAGCGUGGGUAGC
rnacentral:rRNA from 1 species